UACGAAGGGGGCUAGCGUUGCUCGGAAUCACUGGGCGUAAAGGGUGCGUAGGCGGGUCUUUAAGUCAGGGGUGAAAUCCUGGAGCUCAACUCCAGAACUGCCUUUGAUACUGAAGGUCUUGAGUUCGGGAGAGGUGAGUGGAACUGCGAGUGUAGAGGUGAAAUUCGUAGAUAUUCGCAAGAACACCAGUGGCGAAGGCGGCUCACUGGCCCGGUACUGACGCUGAGGUGCGAAAGCGUGGGGAGCAAACAGGG
rnacentral:rRNA from 1 species